AUGAACGCUGGCGGCGUGCCUAAUACAUGCCAGUCGAGCGAACAGACGAGGAGCUUGCUCCUCUGACGUUAGCGGCGGACGGGUGAGUAACACGUGGAUAACCUACCUAUAAGACUGGGAUAACUUCGGGAAACCGGAGCUAAUACCGGAUAAUAUAUUGAACCGCAUGGUUCAAUAGUGAAAGACGGUUUUGCUGUCACUUAUAGAUGGAUCCGCACCGCAUUAGCUAGUUGGUAAGGUAACGGCUUACCAAGGCAACGAUGCGUAGCCGACCUGAGAGGGUGAUCGGCCACACUGGAACUGAGACACGGUCCAGACUCCUACGGGAGGCAGCAGUAGGGAAUCUUCCGCAAUGGGCGAAAGCCUGACGGAGCAACGCCGCGUGAGUGAUGAAGGUCUUCGGAUCGUAAAACUCUGUUAUUAGGGAAGAACAAAUGUGUAAGUAACUAUGCACGUCUUGACGGUACCUAAUCAGAAAGCCACGGCUAACUACGUG
rnacentral:rRNA from 1 species